GAUGAAGAACGUAGCGAAAUGCGAUAAGUAAUGUGAAUUGCAGAAUUCAGUGAAUCAUCGAAUCUUUGAACGCACCUUGCGCCCUUUGGCCAUUCCGAAGGGCAUGCCUGUUUGAGUAUCAUGAACACCUCAACUCUUCAUGGUUUUCCGUGAUGAGCUUGGACUUUGGGGGUCUUGCUGGCCUAUGGUCAGCUCCUCUAAAAUAAAUCAGCUUGCCAGUGUUUGGUGGGUAUCACAGGUGUGAUAACUAUCUACGCUUGUGGUUUUCCACCAGGUAACCUUCAGCAGUGGAGGUUCACUGGAGCUCACAGAUGUGUCUCUCCUCAGUGAGGACAGCUCUUUGAAUGUUUGAUCUCAAAUCAGGUAGGACUACCCGCUGAACUUAAGCAUAUCAAUAAGCGGAGGA
rnacentral:misc_RNA from 1 species